UCCAUGCUCCACUUCUUCGGUUGAUUCUUGCGCCAGUAUUUUUUAUAUAUUCCAUAAAAAAUCCUCGUAAAUUUCCAGGUCAUUCCGAGAACUUUUAUUUGUGCGCAAAAACAACACCAUGGCAAUUCUGCUGAAAACAGCGUUAGUUCGGGUUAGUUCCAUUCAAAUCAUGCAAAUUAGAGUCCAAAACAAGGGAAAAAGAGUUUGGAAAAGUAGAUAGGAUGGAGACUUAUCAACUCCCCCAAGCUUAAAACCUUGCUUGUCCUCAAGCAAUUCAGUUGACAAACUGAAAGAGACAAAAGAAAAAGUUUUACGAACUCUGUUUGAUCUUGUUGUUGCAACUAUGUCUAACUCAUAUCCAGAAUUUCAGCAAGAUCAUAAGCAAACCACAUAAGCAAAUGACAUCUAGGUCUCACGGUAAACUCAUAUCAAUGGCAAAAUCAACUAGCGAGCAAUAAUGAUAAGUUUCAAACAUAAACACUUCAAUCAAAACAAUCAUGC
rnacentral:lncRNA from 1 species